rnacentral:lncRNA from 1 species
AGUGCAAGGGCAGUCAGACUGCCUCAGACACAACCCCCAGAAGUCUUCUGAAGCAGCUGUUCAUGUGCUGACACAAGUCAGCCAACUCACAGAGGCGCGCCAAGUACCUAUGAAAAGUAAGACCAGGAGAGGGCCAGGCAGCAGGAAUGAGAUGGGAAACCAUGAAAGACCCACACAGCUAUGUUGCGGAUUCUUAGGAACAAGAAUCCUGUACUGGAGGAGGCAGCAAAAGGUCAGCUCAAAAGGAAAACGAGACCAGCUUGGUAACCCCUGAGAAGGCUCUGUGCAUGUGGUCUUGUGUACACAAACAGACAUGAAGCCUGAGAGCAAAGCUGAGAAAUACAAUCACUGUAGUUUCUG